AGGCAACAAUGAUGAUAGGUUGUCGGUCUGUAUGUAAUGUGUUGUAUUACUACAUGGAGACACCAGUCCCUCUAAGCUGACGUUGCCA
ensembl:snoRNA SNORD127 small nucleolar RNA, C/D box 127